UACGAAGGGGGCUAGCGUUGCUCGGAAUUACUGGGCGUAAAGCGCACGUAGGCGGUCUUUAAGUCGGGGCGAAAUCCUGGAGCUCAACUCCAGAACUGCCUUCGAUACUGGAAGACUCGAGUCCGGGAGAGGUGAGUGGAACUGGCGAGUGUAGAGGUGAAAUUCGUAGAUAUUCGCAAGAACACCAGUGGCGAAGGCGGCUCACUGGCCCGGUACUGACGCUGAGGUGCGAAAGCGUGGG
rnacentral:rRNA from 1 species